CUGGGGAUAGGAUGCUUGAUGAGAGAGCGCCCAUUGUUUUCCCUUGCUACUGUCGCAACGGUUGUGGGAAUUUGGACUAUAUUUCCUUAUGCGGUGGCUGCUUCAACAACAUUAUUCCUUUACCUGCAACGCCGGUACUCUAGCUAGACAAAACCUUAUACAAAUUUUUGGACUUCCUUUAAUAUAGACAAAAGAUAUCAUGAUAUAGAAUACAAAGAAAAUCAACCAUGGUUUAUAUCUUUGG